rnacentral:rRNA from 1 species
UACGUAGGGGGCUAGCGUUGUCCGGAAUCAUUGGGCGUAAAGCGCGCGUAGGCGGCCAGAUAAGUCCGGUGUGAAAGUCACAGGCUCAACCUGUGAAUGCCGCUGGAAACUGUCUGGCUAGAGUCCGGAAGGGGCGAGUGGAAUUCCUGGUGUAGCGGUGAAAUGCGCAGAUAUCAGGAGGAACACCAAUGGCGAAGGCGGGUUGCUGGGCCGACACUGACGCUGAGGCGCGAAAGCCAGGGGAGCGAACGGG